AGAGGAGAGAAGUAUCUAAGCAGGCUAGGCGCUAGCUGCAAAGAUUUCUCACCUUCCAGGAGCGCCCGCCCACCUCUCAGGGAGCGGCUAAACAGAGGACAAACACCCAUUUACACACGGUUCCCAAAAGGACACUGGCAUGACCAGUCUUCCGGGAUCAGCAGCCACCUCCCGGCAACUGGUGAAAGUGGCUUUCUUGGGCCACUGGAUUGGCAUGGUGUGAAAGGUGAAACCCUCCUGCCCUUUACUGGAGAGAGAGCAGCAAGGAACAAGGAAGGACGCCAGGCCAGCAGCCAGGAGACCUGGCUCCUCCACCUGA